GGAGGGAUGGCCGAGCGGCUUAAGGCGGCGGUCUUGAAAACCGCUGAACGGCAACGUUCCGUAGGUUCAAAUCCUACUCCCUCCGCCA
rnacentral:tRNA from 1 species